CAGGGGGUAGUUUAUAUAUUAGAAUACCAGUUUUGGAGGCUGGAGAUGAGAAGCCACCUUCCCCUUGA
rnacentral:tRNA from 1 species